rnacentral:rRNA from 1 species
GACGAACGCUGGCGGCGUGCUUAACACAUGCAAGUUGAACGGAAAGGCCCCUUUGGGGGUACUCGAGUGGCGAACGGGUGCGUAACACGUGAGUAACCUGCCCUUGACUUCGGGAUAACUUCAGGAAACUGGGGCUAAUACCGGAUAGGAAUCCUUGCUGCAUGGUGGGGGUUGGAAAGCUUCGGCGGUUUUGGAUGGACUCGCGGCUUAUCAGCUUGUUGGUGGGGUAGUGGCUUACCAAGGCUUUGACGGGUAGCCGGCCUGAGAGGGCGACCGGCCACAUUGGGACUGAGAUACGGCCCAGACUCCUACGGGAGGCAGCAGUGGGGAAUAUUGCACAAUGGGCGGAAGCCUGAUGCAGCAACGCCGCGUGCGGGAUGACGGCCUUCGGGUUGUAAACCGCUUUCAGCAGGGGCGAAGCUUGUGGUGACGGUACCUGCAGAAGAAGCACCGGCUAACUACGUG